GUCAGAAUGGCCGAGUGGUCUAAGGCUCCAGACUUAAGAUCUGGUCCUCGUACGAGGGCGUGGGUUUGAACCCCACUUCUGACA
rnacentral:tRNA from 1 species